rnacentral:rRNA from 1 species
CUCCCACCCGUGUUUACUGUACCUUAGUUGCUUCGGCGGGCCCGCCAUUCAUGGCCGCCGGGGGCUCUCAGCCCCGGGCCCGCGCCCGCCGGAGACACCACGAACUCUGUCUGAUCUAGUGAAGUCUGAGUUGAUUGUAUCGCAAUCAGUUAAAACUUUCAACAAUGGAUCUCUUGGUUCCGGCAUCGAUGAAGAACGCAGCGAAAUGCGAUAACUAGUGUGAAUUGCAGAAUUCCGUGAAUCAUCGAGUCUUUGAACGCACAUUGCGCCCCCUGGUAUUCCGGGGGGCAUGCCUGUCCGAGCGUCAUUGCUGCCCAUCAAGCACGGCUUGUGUGUUGGGUCGUCGUCCCCUCUCCGGGGGGGACGGGCCCCAAAGGCAGCGGCGGCACCGCGUCCGAUCCUCGAGCGUAUGGGGCUUUGUCACCCGCUCUGUAGGCCCGGCCGGCGCUUGCCGAACGCAAAUCAAUCUUUUCCAGGUUGACCUCGGAUCAGGUAGGGAUACCCGCUGAACUUAAGCAUAUCAAUAA